GAUCCUGGCUCAGAAUCAACGCUGGCGGCGUGCCUAACACAUGCAAGUCGCACGAGAAAGGGUAGCAAUACCUGAGUAAAGUGGCGCACGGGUGAGUAACACGUGAAUUAUCUACCUCCGAGUGGGGAAUAACUGAGAGAAAUCUUAGCUAAUACCGCAUAACACUUACGAGUCAAAGCAGUAAUGCGCUUGGAGAGGAGUUCGCGGCAGAUUAGUUAGUUGGCGGGGUAAUGGCCCACCAAGACGAUGAUCUGUAUCCGGCCUGAGAGGGCGCACGGACACACUGGAACUGAAACACGGUCCAGACUCCUACGGGAGGCAGCAGUGGGGAAUUUUGCGCAAUGGGGGAAACCCUGACGCAGCAACGCCGCGUGGAGGAUGAAAUCCCUUGGGAUGUAAACUCCUUUCGAUAGGGAAGAUUAUGACGGUACCUAUAGAAGAGGCCCCGGCUAACUUCGUGCCAGCAGCCGCGGUAAUACGAGGGGGGCAAGCGUUGUUCGGAUUUAUUGGGCGUAAAGGGUGCGUAGGCGGUUUGGCAAGUCUUGUGUGAAAUCUUUGGGCUCAACCCAAAGCCUGCACAAGAAACUGCCGGGCUUGAGUAUGGGAGAGGUGAGUGGAAUUUCCGGUGUAGCGGUGAAAUGCGUAGAUAUCGGAAGGAACACCUGUGGCGAAAGCGGCUCACUGGACCAU
rnacentral:rRNA from 1 species